CUUCGGCUUUGUUCACAGCAACAGACGGGCCACCCAGAAAGCACAAGCUGCACGCCAGGGACUUCUGAAAACAAGUUUUAUUUAAAUAAGGGCUUAAAUACAUUACAUAACAUCAAACUGGGAGGAAAACCAAAACCAGUUACUUCACAUGGCAUUGGGGAGCUGCUGCGUGUGGGGUGCAAGCUGUCACCAGGUGGGUUUGUCCCCUUGUCAGAAGUUUAACUGCACUGGGCUGGCCUUGAGCGCUGGGUUUGGUGUCUUUAGCUGGGCUGGCCUUGAGCGCUGGGUUUGGUGUCUUUAGCUGGGCCGUCUGGUCCCCAGGCCCUGGCAGCCAGCUGGGGAGGGCUCUCCGCUACCAACUGCUCCCUCUAGUGGUGGAGCCACACCGCUGCCUCUCCCUUUGCUCUCCCCGGUCCCUGGGCGGCUGGGGUGGGGGCCUUCUAAGGCCAGGGACCCAGCAGCGAGAGCUCGGAGAGCUCCUGGCCAGACACAGCUGCCCGCGGUCUUGGGGCCCUGCUGCAACAUCACGGUACAGUGUUUCAGGCUGCACACUGCUGGGCACCUACUGCGUGAGCUCUGUUCAAAUGAGGGAUUCCAGACUAGACAGCAUGGCUCUUUUCAGUUUAUUGCAUGAAGGAGUUACACUAGUCCAAGUGGAAGCGGACCCCAAAUGGUUACAUUAUACAAGCCGUGAGGUUUUUAAACUUGUGACAAGGGACAGAAAGGACAGUCUACUCAUUCCAAGAAAUCCUCACUUAAGCUUCAAUGAGCCACAAGCACUUAAAACCCAUGAACCUUCAGCUGAUCGUCCUUGGCCAGUCCAAUCU
rnacentral:lncRNA from 1 species